CUGGGCUUGACAUCUGGGGAAUCCUCUGGAAACAGAGGAGUGCCUUUCGGGGAGCCCCAAGACAGGUGCUGCAUGGCUGUCGUCAGCUCGUGUCGUGAGAUGUUGGGUUAAGUCCCGCAACGAGCGCAACCCUUGUCUUUAAUUGCCAUCAUUAAGUUGGGCACUUUAAAGAGACUGCCGGUGUCAAACCGGAGGAAGGUGGGGAUGACGUCAAGUCCUCAUGGCCUUUAUGCCCAGGGCUACACACGUGCUACAAUGGGUGGUACAAAGAGCAGCGAGCUCGCGAGAGUAAGCGAAUCUCAAAAAGCCAUCCUCAGUUCGGAUUGGAGUCUGCAACCCGACUCCAUGAAGUUGGAAUCGCUAGUAAUCGCGGAUCAGCAUGCCGCGGUGAAUACGUUCC
rnacentral:rRNA from 1 species